UGUCGCUUAGGGAUGAGCCCAUUUCCUAUCAGCUAGUUGGUGAGGUAACGGCUCACCAAGGCUUACGGGUAGUUGGUCUGAGAGGAUGAUCAGCAACACUGGGACUGAGACACUGCCCAGUCCUACGGGAGGCUGCAGUCGAGAAUCAUUGUCAAUGCACGAAAGUGUGAACAUGCGACGCCGCGUGGAGGAAGACGGCCUUUGGGUUGUAAACUCCUGUCAGCAGGGAGUAAGGGUGGUACACUUAACACGUGAGCCAUUUGAUAGUACCUGCAGAGGAAGUCACGGCUAACUCUGUGCCAGCAGCCGCGGUAAUACAGAGGUGGCGAACGUUGUUCGGAUUUACUGGGCGUAAAGGGUCCGCAGGCGGUUCGGUAUGUCAGAUGUGAAAGCCCACAGCUUAACUGUGGAAUUGCAUUUGAAACUGCCGAACUAGAGUACUGGAGGGGAGAAGGGAACACUUGGUGUAGCGGUGAAAUGCGUAGAUAUCAAGUGGAACACCGGUGGCGAAGGCGCUUCUCUGGACAGAUACUGACGCUCAUGGACGAAAGUUAGGGUAGCGAAAGGGAUUAGAUACCCCUGUAGUCCUAACCGUAAACGGUGUGCGCUAGGCGUGGGUGGCUUUACCCCCAUCCGUGCCUGAGCUAACGCAUUAAGCGCACCGCCUGGGGAGUACGGUCGCAAGAUUAAAACUCAAAGGAAUUGACGGGGACCCGCACAAGCGGUGGAGCAUGUGGCUUAAUUCGAUGCAACGCGAAGAACCUUACCUGGGCUUGACAUAUAGCUGCAUCCGACCCGAAAGGGACGGAGCCUUCGAGGGUGCUAUACAGGUGCUGCAUGGCUGUCGUCAGCUCGUGCCGUGAGGUGUUGGGUUAAGUCCCGCAACGAGCGCAACCCCUGUGUUUAGUUGCCAGCACGUAAUGGUGGGAACUCUAAACAGACUGCCUGUGAAAACAGGAGGAAGGUGGGGAUGACGUCAAGUCAGUAUGGUCCUUAUGUCCAGGGCUGCACACGUGCUACAAUGGGAUGUACAAUGGGAAGCUAAGCCGCGAGGUGGAGCAAAUCCUCAAAACAUCCCCCAGUUCGGAUUGUAGUCUGAAACUCGACUACAUGAAGUUGGAAUCGCUAGUAAAGGUAUAUCAGCUACGAUACCUUGAAUACGUUCCCGGGUCUUGUACACACCGCCCGUCACAUCAUGGAAGUGAGUUGCACCCGAAGUUGUUGAUCCAACCCGUCAAGGGAGGAAGGCACCUAAGGUGUGAUUCAUAACUG
rnacentral:rRNA from 1 species